rnacentral:rRNA from 1 species
UACGUAGGGGGGCAAGCGUUGUCCGGAAUCAUUGGGCGUAAAGCGCGUGUAGGCGGCUUGGUAAGUCCGCUCUGAAAGCCCGGGGCUCAACCCCGGGAGGCGGGUGGAUACUGUCAAGCUCGAGUCCGGAAGAGGCGAGUGGAAUUCCUGGUGUAGCGGUGAAAUGCGUAGAUAUCGGGAGGAACACCUGUGGCGAAAGCGGCGCACUGGACCAUAACUGACGCUGAUGCGCGAAAGCUAGGGGAGCAAACAGG